rnacentral:rRNA from 1 species
GACGAACGCUGGCGGCGUGCUUAACACAUGCAAGUCGAGCGGUAAGGCCCUUUCGGGGGUACGACGAGCGGCGAACGGGUAGAGUAACACGUGGGUGGACCUGCCCUCCAGCUCUGGGAGUAAGCCUCGGGAAACCGGGUCGUAAUACUGGAUAUGACUCCAUGACGCAUGUUGUGGGGUGGAAAGCCUUGUGCGGCUGAGGAUGGGCCC